rnacentral:rRNA from 1 species
CCUACGGGGAGCUGCAGUGGGGAAUAUUGUACAAUGGGGGGAACCCUGAUGCAGCGACGCCGCGUGAGUGAAGAAGUAUUUCGGUAUGUAAAGCUCUAUCAGCAGGGAAGAAAAUGACGGUACCUGACUAAGAAGCCCCGGCUAACUCCGUGCCAGCAGCCGCGGUAAUACGUAGGGGGCAAGCGUUAUCCGGAUUUACUGGGUGUAAAGGGAGCGUAGACGGCAGCGCAAGUCUGGAGUGAAAUGCCGGGGCCCAACCCCGGAACUGCUCUGGAAACUGUGAAGCUGGAGUGCAGGAGAGGUAAGCGGAAUGCCUGGUGUAGCGGUGAAAUGCGUAGAUAGCAGGAGGAACACCGGCGGCGAAGGCGGCUUACUGGACUGUAACUGACGUUGAGGCUCGAAGGCGUGGGGAGCAAACAGGAUUAGAUACCCGAGUAGUC